rnacentral:rRNA from 1 species
UACGUAGGGGGCAAGCGUUGUCCGGAUUUAUUGGGCGUAAAGAGCGUGUAGGCGGCUUGGUAGGUCCGCUGUGAAAACUCGAGGCUCAACCUCGAGAUGUCGGCGGAAACCACUUGGCUAGAGUCCGGAAGAGGAGAGUGGAAUUCCCGGUGUAGCGGUGAAAUGCGCAGAUAUCGGGAAGAACACCCGUGGCUAAGGCGGCUCUCUAGUACGGUACUGACGCUGAGA